rnacentral:rRNA from 1 species
UUACCUGGGUUUGACAUGGAGAGUAAUCCGGCAGAGAUGUCGGGUCAUUUAGUUGGCUCUCACACAGGUGGUGCAUGGCCGUCGUCAGCUCGUGUCGUGAGAUGUUGGGUUAAGUCCCGCAACGAGCGCAACCCUCGUUCGAUGU